GUGCUCCCUUUGGCAGCACAUAUACUAAAAUUGGAAUGAUACAGAGAAAAUUAGCAUGGCCUCUGAGCAAGAAUAACACACAAAUUCAUGAAGCAUUCCUUAUAUAA
rnacentral:snRNA from 1 species